rnacentral:lncRNA from 1 species
CCAUCAAUUCUAAGCUGCUACCAUGGUGUUAGCACAGAAGUCCUCAUCACUGCCUCCUAGUCUUACCCUUACCCUUGUGGCCAAGAGCAUCGGUGCCUGGAGUGUACCUAGAAGGUGAACGACGUCGCCUUCUUGCAACCUGCGUAGGCUGAGUAGAAGGAGCAUCAGGAAGCUGAGAUAACCCAAGCUCGUCAUAGUCACGCUCCUCGGCCACCCCCUCUUCGUCGUCAUCAUCAUCGCUUUGAAAAGUGUCCAUGGUUGGCCGAGACGAGCUCUGUCCUCCAGAUCCUAUCAACAUUGUUCAAAU